UAAGGAAUCUUCCACAAUGGGCGAAAGCCUGAUGGAGCAACGCCGCGUGUGUGAUGAAGGGUUUCGGCUCGUAAAACACUGUUGUAAGAGAAGAAUGACAUUGAGAGUAACUGUUCAAUGUGUGACGGUAUCUUACCAGAAAGGAACGGCUAAAUACGUGCCAG
rnacentral:rRNA from 1 species